rnacentral:rRNA from 1 species
GUCUACGGCCAUACCACCCUGAACGCGCCCGAUCUCGUCUGAUCUCGGAAGCUAAGCAGGGUCGGGCCUGGUUAGUACUUGGAUGGGAGAAACAAGUUAGAAACCAGAGCCCUUUUUUAAAUGCAGGUCCUAAAGAAC